rfam:Schistosoma mansoni strain Puerto Rico chromosome 3, complete genome
GCACUGCUGAGGAGUCCUACAACAGGACAAAACGCCCGUCCAGUGU